ACGCAGCGACGUCGCGUGGGGGAGGAAGGCUUUCGGGUUGUAAACCCUUUUAUCGAGGAAGAAAAAAAUAGACGGUACUCGAUGAAUAAGCCCCGGCUAACUCCGUGC
rnacentral:rRNA from 1 species